AUGGACGUACUAGCCAAUAGAAGAAUUUGGGAUGAAUCGAAAACGAAAAAUACUUGUACUCCUAUUGGCCAGGCUAGAAUUAGCUGGGACGCAAUACAUGCUUGUCUGGACAUCGGUUUUCGGGCCAACCUUAAGACUGUUUGUGUUGCUGCUAGAGCUAGUUUUCUGUUCAGAAACAAGACCAGUGCAUGCGAUAUGGUGUACUUGAACUGUAUGGAGCGUACCUGUUUUUUACUCAUGGUCAGGUACUCAGUUUGCUGUGGAACUAGCGAACCAGCAUUUAUUUUUUCAUUGUUCACUCUAGUUUAA
rnacentral:rRNA from 1 species